ACAAGACGAGUCCUCCUGCACCAGACUUGUCCUCCUGCACCAGACUUGUCCUCCUGCACCUGCCAGAAUUCAUAUGCUUGUCCCGAAGACUCAAGCCAUGCAUGCCAAUGACUACCGUUGCCCACUCUGGGCUAUUGAGGCCCCCCAACGCUGGGGGGAACCACCUCAUAUGGACGGUUAUCAGCGAACGGCUCCGCAUAUCUGUUGUAACCUAUCGUGACACAUUGGGCGUGGAUAACCACGGAAAAGCUGUGUAUAAAACAAAUACACGGGGCACUGAUGGUGGCAUUCGCUAGCCCCAUCAUAAGCUGGCUCAGAAAUGGGCCACGCCCUGCAAUAGCUACCCAUAAGUAUCAAGUACCCAGGCCCGCAUCUGGUGUGUUUCCCCUCUCCCUGGCGGAGAAGGGGGGCGGAGUUCUGGGGAAACUGUGGCCUCUGCUUCCGAGGAGAGAAGAUUUUGUCCACCCCCCGGUGGCCUUGGGUUUGUAUACCGGGCCUGUGGGGGACUCUUUAACCGAGGAGUCAAUAAGCAGAAACUAACCACAAGUGCACGAUGGGCUUCAGACCUAUCAGCUAGAUGGUAGGGUAUAGGCCUACCAUGGCAAUGACGGGUACAGAGGAUUAGGGUUUGAUCCUGGAGAGGUAGCCUGAGAAAUCGCUCCCACUUCUAAGGAAGGCAGCAGGCGCGUAACGUUCCCAAUGCUAGGAUCCGUAGUGAGGACGUAAUCGGGAGGAACAAGUACCCUGCUGGAGGACAAGUCUGGUGCCGGAGGACAAGUCU
rnacentral:rRNA from 1 species